rnacentral:rRNA from 1 species
ACGCUCGACACCUACGGGAGGCAGCAGUGGGGAAUAUUGCACAAUGGGGGAAACCCUGAUGCAGCGACGCCGCGUGAGUGAAGAAGUAAUUCGUUAUGUAAAGCUCUAUCAGCAGGGAAGAAAGUGACGGUACCUGAGUAAGAAGCCCCGGCUAACUACGUGCAAGCAGCCGCGGUAAUCUGAGCGGCUGGCAAGGC